UCUAGAGAUUACUCCUACGGGAGGCAGCAGCGGGGAAUAUUGGACAAUGGGCGCAAGCCUGAUCCAGCCAUGCCGCGUGUGUGAUGAAGGCCUUAGGGUUGUAAAGCACUUUCACCGAUGAAGAUAAUGACGGUAGUCGGAGAAGAAGCCCCGGCUAACUUCGUGCCAGCAGCCGCGGUAAUAAUCGUCGAC
rnacentral:rRNA from 1 species